rnacentral:miRNA from 1 species
UACUGCAUUUAUUGGUAAAAAUCUGCAUAUAAGUGCCCCUGUACAGUUCAAACCUGUGUUAUUCAAGGGUCAACUGUAUAU